CAGCAGCCGCGGUAAUACGAAGGGUGCAAGCGUUACUCGGAAUUACUGGGCGUAAAGCGUGCGUAGGUGGUGGUUUAAGUCCGUUGUGAAAGCCCUGGGCUCAACCUGGGAAUUGCAGUGGAUACUGGGUCACUAGAGUGUGGUAGAGGAUAGUGGAUUUUCCGGUGUAGCAGUGAAAUGCGUAGAGAUCGGAAGGAACAUCUGUGGCGAAGGCGACUAUCUGGGCCAACACUGACACUGAGGCACGAAAGCGUGGGGAGCAAACAGGAUUAGAUACCCCUGUAGUCCCUGUCUCUUAUAC
rnacentral:rRNA from 1 species